GUGAAUCAUCGAAUUUUUGAACGCAAAUUGCACUCUCCGCGAAUAGGAUGCGUAUCUCAGUUUCAGCCUAUGAAAAAUCAACAUCGUUGCUGUUUCGCGGUGGCGUUCGUCAGGAAUUGGGUCAUCUUCAAUCUUUUGUUUUUAAGCUGCUUAAAAUUUUCUUUUUGGUUCCAUGAACGUUUCUAAGAUUUAUUUCUUUACACGUUUAAGGUGUCGAUUUUUAUUAGGCGUGACCAUCAUAUCUGAUC
rnacentral:misc_RNA from 1 species